rnacentral:rRNA from 1 species
GAGACAGCAGUAGCCGCGGUAAUACGUAGGUGGCAAGCGUUGUCCGGAAUUAUUGGGCGCAAAGGGCUCGCAGGCGGUUUCUUAAGUCUGAUGUGAAAGCCCCCGGCUCAACCGGGGAGGGUCAUUGGAAACUGGGAAACUUGAGUGCAGAAGAGGAGAGUGGAAUUCCACGUGUAGCGGUGAAAUGCGUAGAGAUGUGGAGGAACACCAGUGGCGAAGGCGACUCUCUGGUCUGUAACUGACGCUGAGGAGCGAAAGCGUGGGGAGCGAACAGGAUUAGAUACCCCAGUAGUCCCUGUCUCUUAUAA